rnacentral:rRNA from 1 species
CGUGUAGGCGGGUCUUUAAGUCAGGGGUGAAAUGCCGAGGCUCAACCUUGGAACUGCCUUUGAUACUGGGGAUCUUGAGUCCGGGAGAGGUGAGUGGAACUGCGAGUGUAGAGGUGAAAUUCGUAGAUAUUCGCAAGAACACCAGUGGCGAAGGCGGCUCACUGGCCCGGAACUGACGCUGAGACGCGAAAGCGUGGGGAGCAAACAGGAUUAGAUACCCUGGUAGUCCACGCUGUAAACGAUGGAUGCUAGCCGUUGGGGAGCUUGCUCUUCAGUGGCGCAGCUAACGCUUUAAGCAUCCCGCCUGGGGAGUACGGUCGCAAGAUUAAA